UGAGUAUUUUGUUGUUAUCUUGCCGUUUUGCAUAUUUUUUGGGGGUUUACUGUUGUUUUUUAUUAUUCUGUAAUUAUGUAAUGAGUGUCCAUUCCUUGUCUUAUGUGAGUAGAACCCCAAGAGGAUAGUUCACCCUGACAUCACACCUGAGGGACCACCCUCUGCCUUCUGAUGCAUCAGACUUAGGAUCACAUCAGGAUUCUUUAUUGUUCCCAUUUCUGGGCCUGUUAGGCUAAACGUCUGCCUGUAGAAGUCUGAGCUGCCUGCCUGGGACAAGACCUUAUCUGAGCAGGCCUUCAAGGUCCUGCUGCAGAGGAGCAUCUCCUCAGCAUAAUGCCCCCGAUGGUGGGGAUGGUGUCCAUCCAUCUAUUAUCC